rnacentral:lncRNA from 1 species
UUAAGUACCAAGUCUUGCCUAGCCAGAUUAAUCUUAUGCUACUCACUAAAUACCCUUUAAAGUAAAAUUACUUUUAAAAUCAAAGGACACACAAACAAAGACAAUUGGACUUUAAGACCCCUAAAACGUUUUCGGAGCCUUUGACUGAUUGAAAUCUCACUUUAUCACCAUUUUCACCGUCGAUCUACACUUUUCACCGAUAAAAGCCACAUUUCACAGAUUAAUACUCCUUUGCCAACAUUUCCUACCGAUUAGAACCCUUCUUAACUCAAACCCUAGCCUUUUCUUCGGUCAAAUCACUCAAACCUAGGGUUUUGUUCUUCCGCUGCGUCUAUUGUCCGGUUCGUCAGUCGAUCUGAUCCAGUUUCUUCAGCUCAUUGCCAAUCUGUCUCGGAGCGGGUUGUACCACCUAAGACUUGAAACACAUUUGGUUCUUGAGAGACGACCUAGGAGUCACUUCCUAGUCUAUACUGCAUUCUUUAUGCACAUUAAAUUUGCAUGGGGUGCGACACCCAUCAAAUUUUGGCGCCGUUGUCGGGGACCAACAGUUCGGUCUUAGGUCUUUGUUGUGUUAGUGUGUGUUGUGUUUUGUCUUGUAUUGUGAGUGUGAUGUUCUGUUUUGUAUGUUUGUCAUUGUGUGUUGCAUUUAGGUAGCUUUAGUUGCAUAUUUUCAUUGCAUUCUUCUUUUCCCCUUCUUUCCCAUGUCUACCUAUUUUGGUGAUGAGUGCAUAUUUAUGCCCACAUUUAUGUUUUAAAAUUGAAAUUUUUGAUGAGAUAUUUGUGCUUAAAUAAUUGAUUUAAAGUGAAUUUGUGACAAUUGGAUUUAUUGGGUUUGGGAAUUAAAGAUGCUUAAAAUGUGAUUUUUAGUUGCAUAAAUUAUUUUGGAUG